UUCAAAAUUAAAACAUUUUGAAACAUCUGAAUUAAAUUUUCUUUAGUGUCUAGGUAGAUGUUUUUUUAGAGUGUAUUGUUUUCAGUGGCUAGCCGGGAGGUUGAAAACAUCAUCCUGCGAUGGAGAUCCAAUUUAUCGGUUGGUGGAAGAAGAUUCAUCGAUUACUUAAAGAGUCUAUCGGGAUUUGAGUGACCAGGAUGGCGGUUCCAAAAAGUUCCGUCGAUGGCUCAAAGUUUCGUGGAUCAAAGGAUCAACGUUUGCUGCUCUCAUGCUACUGGAUUCGAAGAGGCGAUGUUGGGCAAGUUAAUGAUCGCAUUUGCACCCGAAGUGUAAGGUAAGCGCCUUAAAUUGUAAAUUUAUUGUCCAAGUGAUUGAAUCUUAAAACUUGCAAUGCAAGACCAAAUUCGACGGAGCUUGCAAUAAAGGCCGAAGAGAUCACAGCGAAAAAGGAACCGUUAUAUCAUUUUCAAGAAUACACCAUAUUUUUUUCUAGAAAAGUUUAGAAUAAAACCGCUUCCAAAAGAGUGUA